GCCACCAUUUUAGAUGAAGGACCAGGUUGCU
rnacentral:piRNA from 1 species